AACCCUGAGGCGUGAUGACGAUGCACUACGGUGCAGAAGUAGUUGAUGCCCUGCUUCCAGGAAAAUCCUCUAAGCUCCAGGUAACAUUAAAUCGUACCCCAAACCGACACAGGUGGUCAGGUAGAGAAUACCAAGGCGCUUGAGAGAACUCGGGUGAAGGAACUAGGCAAAAUGGUGCCGUAACUUCGGGAGAAGGCACGCUGGCAUGUAGGUGAAGUCCCUUGCGGAUGGAGCUGAAGCCAGUCGAAGAUACCAGCUGGCUGCAACUGUUUAAUAAAAACACAGCACUGUGCAAACACGAAAGUGGACGUAUACGGUGUGACGCCUGCCCGGUGCUGGAAGGUUAAUUGAUGGGGUCAGCCGCAAGGCGAAGCUCUUGAUCGAAGCCCCAGUAAACGGCGGCCGUAACUAUAACGGUCCUAAGGUAGCGAAAUUCCUUGUCGGGUAAGUUCCGACCUGCACGAAUGGCGUAAUGAUGGCCAGGCUGUCUCCACCCGAGACUCAGUGAAAUUGAACUCGCUGUGAAGAUGCAGUGUACCCGCGGCAAGACGGAAAGACCCCGUGAACCUUUACUAUAGCUUGACACUGAACAUUGAGCCUUGAUGUGUAGGAUAGGUGGGAGGCUUUGAAGCGUGGACGCCAGUCUGCGUGGAGCCAUCCUUGAAAUACCACCCUUUAAUGUUUGAUGUUCUAACUCGGCCCCGUGAUCCGGGGUGAGGACAGUGUCUGGUGGGUAGUUUGACUGGGGCGGUCUCCUCCCAAAGAGUAACGGAGGAGCACGAAGGUUAGCUAAUCACGGUCGGACAUCGUGAGGUUAGUGCAAAGGCAUAAGCUAGCUUGACUGCGAGAGUGACGGCUCGAGCAGGUACGAAAGUAGGUCUUAGUGAUCCGGUGGUUCUGAAUGGAAGGGCCAUCGCUCAACGGAUAAAAGGUACUCCGGGGAUAACAGGCUGAUACCGCCCAAGAGUUCAUAUCGACGGCGGUGUUUGGCACCUCGAUGUCGGCUCAUCACAUCCUGGGGCUGAAGUAGGUCCCAAGGGUAUGGCUGUUCGCCAUUUAAAGUGGUACGCGAGCUGGGUUUAGAACGUCGUGAGACAGUUCGGUCCCUAUCUGCCGUGGGCGUUGGAAGAUUGAGAGGGGUUGCUCCUAGUACGAGAGGACCGGAGUGAACGCACCACUGGUGUUCGGGUUGUCAUGCCAAUGGCAUUGCCCGGUAGCUAAGUGCGGAAAAGAUAAGCGCUGAAAGCAUCUAAGCGCGAAACUUGCCUCAAGAUGAGUCUUCCCUGGGCCUUUAAGGCCCCUGAAGGAACGUUUAAGACUAAGACGUUGAUAGGCUGGGUGUGUAAGUGCAGCGAUGCAUUGAGCUAACCAGUACUAAUGAUCCGUGAGGCUUAACC
rnacentral:rRNA from 1 species